rnacentral:rRNA from 1 species
GGAGGAUGCGAGCGNCAUCCGGANNUANNGGGUNUAAAGGGAGCGCAGACGGGUCGUUAAGUCAGCNGUGAAAGNNNGGGGCUCAACCUNAAAANCGCAGUNGAUACNGGCGUCCUCGAGNGCGGUNGAGGUGUGCGGAAUUCGUGGUGUAGCGGUGAAAUGCUUAGAUAUCACGAAGAACUCCGAUUGCGAAGGCAGCUCACUGGACUGCAACUGACACUGAUGCUCGAAAGUGUGGGUAUCAAACAGGAUUAGAUACCCUGGUAGUCCACGCAGUAAACGAUGAUUACUAGGAGUUUGCGAUACAAUGUAAGCUCUACAGCGAAAGCGUUAAGUAAUCCACCUGGGGAGU